GACGCCAUUUACUGCCUUAGUAGCGUAACUUUAUUCCAAGUUCAAACGUAUUUUUCUCUUCUAUAAUUGCCAUCUUUAUAAUCGAGACAAUUCUUAAUCAAUCGUAAUAAUUGGCAAAUUACAAGGAUAACCGAUAAUUGCUGUAAUACUAUUAUUCCAAACAGGAAAAUUACUUCAGUUCCUAACUAGGAUUGAGUAUUGUACAUAGAACAUCCUGUGAAAAUGGAAGCUGCAAAAUCGUCCUCAUUGUUGUUGCUCAAAGAAGAGAAGGAGAAUUUGGAGGAGGGUCCAACUGAAAACACAGGGGAAGGCUCUUCGUUUGCAGACCCCUUCUUAGAAGUCAAGGCAGAACCAGAAUUUUUUGACGUUCAUUGCCAUCAUCAUUGCCAUUAAUCAAAGAAGAGAAGUAGAAUUAGGAGGAGGGUCUCACUGAAAAUGCAGGCAAAUGUUCUUCAUUCGCAGUCUUUCUUAGCAAUUAAGGCAGAGCCAAAGUAUUUUGGCCAGAGUAAAUUUGAUGCGAAAUGGUUUUAUAACCUUUAUGUAUGCAAAGGUAAAAUAAAUUACUUUUAGUUUUUUCUUACAAUUGUUCUCUUGUUCUCACCGAUCAAUGUACAGUACUUGGUUAAGAAGUUUUCCUGUGAUGUCUCCACUUUUCUGGUUCCUGUGUACUUUUUGUGUGGUUUCCAAAUAAAGAAUUAGUAUUG